rnacentral:rRNA from 1 species
ACGCACGCUGGCGGCAUGCCUCACCCCUGCCAGUCGCACGAGACCUUCGGGUCUAGUGGCGCACGGGUGCGUAACGCGUGGGAACCUGCCCUUAGGUUCGGAAUAACUCCCCGAAAGGGGUGCUAAUACCGGAUAAUGUCUUCGGACCAAAGAUUUAUCGCCUUUGGAUGGGCCCGCGUUGGAUUAGCUAGUUGGUAGGGUAAAAGCCUACCAAGGCGACGAUCCAUAGCUGGUCUGAGAGGAUGAUCAGCCACACUGGGACUGAGACACGGCCCAGACUCCUACGGGAGGGAGCAGUGGGGAAUAUUGGACAAUGGGCGAAAGCCUGAUCCAGCAAUGCCGCGUGAGUGAUGAAGGCCUUAGGGUUGUAAAGCUCUUUUACCCGGGAUGAUAAUGACAGUACCGGGAGAAUAAGCUCCGGCUAACUCCGUG